rnacentral:lncRNA from 10 species
AAGACGGAAGUCUCCUGUAUCCCUGAUGAUUUUGUGAAGCCACCACUCCACCCUUGCACUGCCUAGCUCUGGAUUUAUUUUAUAUUUGCCUAUUCUAGACAUUUCAUAGAAAAUGGAAUCAUACACCAUGCAGUCCUUUGUGGCAUCUUUCACUAAGCGUAAUGUUUUCCUCUGUAAAUUCUUAUAUGCUGAAGUCUGAGAACUGCUGUCCUAGGGUAGAAGUGGA